rnacentral:lncRNA from 1 species
CCACAAGAGCCAACACAGGAGACAUGGCCGGAGAGGCAAGAUCACCAGUGGACAAACCCGCCUUUUCAUACGGGUAGGUACUCCACUGAUCCAUAUGGAGCUUCAGGAUCCAGACCUCCGCCCCAAUUCGAUGCAGGACGAUACUCCGACGCCUCCUACGCUUACUACCAAGAGGCCGGCGCUUUCUUCACCCGUACCGACAACACUCUCCUCGACAUCCAGAACACGCAAGCAGAACAUGGACGACUCCUGGAAGAACAGCAGAAAUAGAACCAGGACCACACCACUGCAGUACAAGAGCUGAGACAAGAUACAACAAC